rnacentral:rRNA from 1 species
AGAACGAACGCUGGCGGCGUGGAUAAGACAUGCAAGUCGAACGCGAUUUAUCAGGUUAGCAAUAACUUGGUAAAUUGAGUGGCGAAAGGGUGCGUAACACGUGGGAAUUUACCGAGAAGUGGGGAAUAGCUCGACGAAAGUCGAAUUAAUACCGCAUGUGAUCGAAAGAUCAAAGCCGGGGACCGCAAGGCCUGGCGCUUCUUGAGAAGCCCGCGGCCCAUCAGCUAGUUGGCGGGGUAAAAGCCCACCAAGGCUAUGACGGGUAGCUGGUCUGAGAGGACGACCAGCCACACUGGAACUGAGACACGUCCAGACACCUACGGUGGCAGCAGUCGAGAAUUUUUCACAGU